rnacentral:rRNA from 1 species
UACAGAGGGUGCGAGCGUUGUCCGGAAUCACUGGGCGUAAAGGGUGAGUAGGUGGCCUGUUAAGCGUGUGGUGAAAGCCUGGGGCUCAACCCCAGGUCUGCCGUGCGAACUGACAGGCUUGAGCAGAGUAGAGGCGAGUGGAAUUUCGGGGUGUAGCGGUGGAAUGCGUAGAUAUCCGAAAGAACACCGGUGGCGAAGGCGACUCGCUGGGCUACUCCUGACACUGAGGUACGAAAGCGUGGGGGAGCGAACAGG